GACGAACGCUGGCGGCGUGCUUAACACAUGCAAGUCGAGCGGAGCGGCGAACGGGUGAGUAACGCGUGAGUAACUGCCCCCCUCUCUGGGAUAACAGUUGGAAACGGCUGCUAAUACCGGCUAGUGGGGGAUGACUCGCGUCCAAUGAGCUUGUUGGUAGGGUAGUGGCCUACGAAGGCGACGACGGGUAGCCGGCCUGAGCGGGCAACCGGCGACAUGGGGCUGAGGGACGGCCCAAACGCCAACGGGAGGCAGCAGUGGGAAAUAUUGCACAAUGAGGGAAACCCAGAUGCAGCGGCGCCGCGUGCGUAAUGACGGGUUUCGGGUGGUAAACCGCUUUCAGCCAUGACGCGGUAGUUGCAGAAGAAGCACCGGCUAACUACGUGCCAGCAGCCGCGGUAAUUC
rnacentral:rRNA from 1 species